rnacentral:rRNA from 1 species
AACGAACGCUGGCGGCAGGCUUAACACAUGCAAGUCGAACGGGCGUAGCAAUACGUCAGUGGCAGACGGGUGAGUAACACGUGGGAACCUUCCUAGGGGUACGGAACAACCCAGGGAAACUUGGGCUAAUACCGGAUACGCCCUUCGGGGGAAAGAUUCAUUGCCGAAAGAUCGGCCCGCGUCGGAUUAGCUAGUUGGUAGGGUAACGGCCUACCAAGGCGACGAUCCGUAGCUGGUCUGAGAGGAUGACCAGCCACACUGGGACUGAGACACGGCCCAGACUCCUACGGGAGGCAGCAGUAGGGAAUCUUCCACAAUGGACGAAAGUCUGAUGGAGCAACGCCGCGUGAGUGAAGAAGGCCUUAGGGUUGUAAAGCUCUUUUGGCAGGGACGAUAAUGACGGUACCUGCAGAAUAAGCCCCGGCAAACUUCGUGCCAGCAGCCGCCGUAACAC